CUACCGCGGGGUGUGCCCACCUGCGCGCGGCCAGCGGAGGCAUAGACAGCGUUGCCAGACCUCUUUUUGCACGCUAAAUGUUAGCGGAGUACUCGUUUUUGAGGGCAACAAUGCGGAUCUCUAUGGCAACGUAAGUGAGAACGCCUCGGGCGUGGCGUUCGUCUGCUCUCAUGGCCUCCGCAUUGCUCGCCGAGCAGGAAAUAUGUCCACUUGGGGCGAGCGAAGACGACGACGAUUUAGGGCAUCUACUGAUUGCAGAACAAGAUUUGUUUCGAUCACUUUCGCCAGUGAAAUUAUGUGAUCAGGCUCCUCUGCAUAGUGCUGGCACAGUGGUAGCUUGUCACCGUGUGUUAGGAUGAAGUGAUUAAACGAUUUCAAAACGAUCACCCGCACUACAAGCUUCACAGACCUCAAUUUCUCUAGACGAAAGGUCUGCUCAGCGCAACACAGCAGACGUGUAACAAAGGAGGAUGGUUUAACCAGCCCUCCAUUGUCCCUGAGCAUGAUGAGAACACUUGAUGUCUCGUCAUCUAGGAGUGUGUCCAAACAACCAUUACAGGUGAGUUUUGAGGAGACAAUUCUAACAACAUAUCCUCCAAUAUAGGCAACAAUGUCCUCGCUGAACCUGCUGAGUCUGGAUGAUUCCCCGUAGUCAUGGUCAGCACACUGUAGAAGGGCACAGAUGUUGUCCUCUGCAGGAACUUCUGCAGUGGGAGUCUCCUCACCUGCACUUUCCUCCCUUCGCGGCUUGCCCUGGUGACCGAGUGUCUCUAUGCCUUCCACUGUAGGAGCGACAUUCGCAGAGCUUGGGGCCUGAACUUCAGCAUGUAUCAGAAGCUUCCUGUAGGCAUGACGGAAUUGGGAAGCUGAUGGGUUGUUAUUCCAUCCUCCUCUUUGCCUGAUGCAGCUGAAGAACAGUUCCAAGUGGUCCUGGCUGAGGCGACCUCUACAUGUUACCUGCAUGCGCCCGCCUGGAACAGCGCUUCUGCCAGCUGUGCAACACUUUUCAGCGUAAAGGCCAUGCUGAUGACUGACAUGCGUCUCCCAUGCUGAGCAGCUAGCUCCCCGGAUGGAAGUCGCAGUGUCAUCAUUCUUGACGACAAUCUUUAGUGGCCACAGUCAUGAAAAUGAAAGGCCUACUCAUCUACGUCGGCAAUGAACGAAGCGGUUGCGUCACUUCCUUCAAAUUCGGUCAAUCCCAGGAGCCGUGCGUGGGUCAGGGCUUUGCUCACGGAUGAACUUAGAGUCUGCGCUGCAAGGCGGACCUUCAUGAUCUGGCGGCCAAACUCAAUAUGGGAUCUGGGUCAGUUGCAGCCGUCGACGGACACCACGCAGGUACUGGUUCUUCUCUCGAAGUUGUCUCAUUCCUGUUCUUGGCGUUGUUUUGCUGUGAUAGGUGUGCUCCUUGUGACCCUUGGGUGUGAUCGGGCUGCCCUCAGUAUCUGUGUUGCUCACAGACACCUGCAAAGUUGCCUGUUGGUUAAGGACAGCAUUCCCCAAUAUUUUGCAUUUUAAAAUUACCGGUUGUCGUGUAGGCGUGGUUUCAUUGCAUGUUUCCGGUUGUUGCUGCCCUGCUCUGGGGUCAGGGGACAAAACAUCUACAGAAAUGUCCUCAAGUCGUUGUGUUUUGGGAUCUGGGCUUUCCUGCUGACACUCCUGAAAUGGUAGUAGGAACUGUCGCUGCUCACAGGAAUUGGAAUGCAUUGUUUCGCAGUGGGCUAUAGUCACAAAAGCAAUUUGUCUGUGUUUUCAUGUUUUUCAGCAGCAGAAGAACCUGACAGCAGCAAGCAGCAGGAAUAAGAAAUGACAUACAGACAUAUACUCACUGCUUUCCGCUUUUGUGGCAGCUUACAGUAGGGAUGGUCCUCAUGGUCAAACAGGCAGUGGAACAGCUGAAGAAGGGACGGCGGGCUCUGCUUGCUCAGCACUGGCUUCAAGCAUUUCCUGGAAAACAUGGAGUGAAGGCAGUCAUACAGGGGGGUGGCUGCACAAACUACUAUGUACUUACCAGGGAAACUGUGUCAGCACCACUUUCAUCUCUUUCAUCUGGCUGGCUGGCUGUUACUUGACUCUAAAAAAGUUCUUCCAUUAUUAUCUCCUUUUGUAUCAUUUUAAAAGUAAUAAAGAAUAACCGGAUACCUCA